UACGAAGGGGGCUAGCGUUGCUCGGAAUCACUGGGCGUAAAGCGCACGUAGGCGGCUUCUUAAGUCAGGGGUGAAAUCCUGGAGCUCAACUCCAGAACUGCCUUUGAUACUGGGAGGCUUGAGUCCGGGAGAGGUGAGUGGAACUGCGAGUGUAGAGGUGAAAUUCGUAGAUAUUCGCAAGAACACCAGUGGCGAAGGCGGCUCACUGGCCCGGUACUGACGCUGAGGUGCGAAAGCGUGGGGAGCAAACAGG
rnacentral:rRNA from 1 species